rnacentral:tRNA from 1 species
UUGUAUAUAAGUGUAAGAUGCACUAUGAUUUUUGAAACCAUAAGAUUAAGUUUAAUUCUUAAAUUUACAAU